ACAAGAGCAGACCAGCUUGUUUAGCUUUGUUUAUAGCCAGCUCAUGAGUAAGAACCGAGUCACAGGGAACGAAGCUCUGAUCUAAAUCCUGCAGUCCUCCUGCAAAGCUUGCCAAGCGCCGCACGUAAAUAAGACCUGUAAGGUUUGCCAGCCAAGCACAGGCUGCUUCCCUGCAAAUACCUCUUCUAGCCUCCACUUUCUCCUUCC